rnacentral:rRNA from 1 species
GGUGAACGCUGGCGGCGGGCCUAACACAUGCAAGUCGAGCGGACACACAGUGAGAGCGUGCUCUUGACGGUAGCGGGGGGCGGGCGAGUGAGGAGUGCAUCAGAUUCUACUUUUUCGGGGGGGAUUUCGGGGGGAAACAUACGAUACUGCAGCAUACGAUGUACGGGUGGAAGCAAUGGUGCUUGGAGCCUUGCGCGAUUCAAUGAGCUGAUGCCGGAUUAGCUAGUUUGCGGGGUAAAGGCACACCAAGGCAACGAUACGUAGCCGAUCUGAGAGGAUGAUCCGCCACACUGGAACUGAGACACGGUCCAGACUCCUACGGGAGGCAGCAGUGGGGAAUCUUGCACAAUGGGCGCAAGCCUGACCCAGCCACACCGCGUGAGUGAAGAAGGUCUUCGGGUCGUAAAACCCUUUUAUUGGGAAAGAAAAAAUGUGUAUUUAUCUCCCCACGUCCUGACGGUACCCAAACAAAAAGCCACGGCUAACUUCGUG